rnacentral:rRNA from 1 species
GAUGAACGCUGGCGGUAUGCUUAACACAUGCAAGUCGAACGGAGCUUUUCGGAGCUUAGUGGCGGACGGGUGAGUAACGCGUGAGAAUCUGCCUUUUGGACCGGGACAACUGCGGGAAACGGCAGCUAAGACCGGAUGUGCCUUCGGGUGAAAUAUUCAUAGCCAAAAGAGGAGCUCGCGACCGAUUAGCUAGUUGGUGGGGUAAGAGCCUACCAAGGCUGCGAUCGGUAGCCGGUUUGAGAGGACGACCGGCCACACUGGGACUGAGACACGGCCCAGACUCCUACGGGAGGCAGCAGCGGGGAAUUUUCCGCAAUGGGCGAAAGCCUGACGGAGCAAUACCGCGUGAGGGAGGAAGGCUCUUGGGUCGUAAACCUCUUUUCUCAGGGAAGAAGCAAUGACGGUACCUGAGGAAUCAGCAUCGGCUAACUCCGUGCCAGCCGCCGCGGUAAGAC